UAAUCUCAGCUGGCAACUGUGAGCGGUUAAUAAAUUAUCUCACAGUGGUCUCUGGGAUUAUG
rnacentral:pre_miRNA from 1 species